CACAAACAUACCGUGUGUAAUCCAAAUUUGACAAAAAACAUUGGAGUUAAAACCAUUUGUUUGGAAGUAUUGACAUUUCGCUGGGUUUAUAUACCAGACAGUAAUCGCGCUACUAGUGGAUCAACCUGGAAGUGUGCCUGCGGGUGCGCAGUGCACAGUGUGUGCAGGGCUAGAUAGGCUAGCAUAGGAAUAGGUUAGCAUAUGAAUAGAUGAGAGAUAUAGACACCCCUGUCCGCAACUACCAGGUUGAUCCCCGUCUGGCCGGUGGCUGGGCAGUUAUUUUCUUUUUUAAAUGCUACUAAUGUCAAUUGGUUAUUUUCUUUUUUUAAAUUUCACAAUUAAAUAAAAAUGAAAUAUAAUUAAUUCAAAUGUUCCAGAAAAUUACAUUAAAACCAAACCCAAAACAUUUGGAAAACUAAACAGAAUCUGUUGAGGUGGGAAGAAUAACUUUUAUUAAGAGUUACAUUAAAGAGAAUAACUUACAUUUAUUAGGCGUUACAUUAGGCUUAUAAAGACAAAACAUUACUUGUAACCACCUAGUAGCUGUUUUCUGUACAAGAAAUGACAGCUGUAUAUAGGAAAGGAAAUAUAUAUUAGAACAAUUUUUCAAAUUAAACAUAAGAUUUAAAAGAUAAUCAUUUCUACUGAACAUUUUUUUAAUCUAAUAUUUAAACAUAUUCUAUGAUGCCUUUGUAAAUGGAAAUGGCUGAGUAUAUGGAGUUUACACGAUGUCUUUUGGAGCUACCAAGAGUCACUAUAAAUGAUGUUAGGCGUCUUUCUCUUAAGACACCACAAAAUAAAAUGCAAAAAGGAUUUAAAUGUUUUGUGUCUUCCUACAUAGCAAACUUCGAAGGUAAGUUGCUAAUGCUAACUAGCAAAUUUACAAAAACAGUCAUGCUAAAAAGGGUGGUCAUGCUUUUUCAUUUGCAAAAUUAAUAUUAUUUUGUCGGCUAUAAAAAGUUUAUUUCUUAUCUGCUUAAACUAAUUAAACGUUUUGCCUUUAUCUUUUAGGUCACACUGAUUCAGAGCCAGUAGUGCUAACUAGCAGUUGUUGCACAUGUGCAACCAUCUGGUAGCCCUGUUUUACCGAAUAGCACAUUUCUCAGAGAGUGGGAUGCCAGUUGUGCCGCCUGUAUUGUCCUGCACUGAAACCGAGCAAAAGUGGCUUAAACCGCGGACCAUGGUUUGUACUAUUUAUUUAUUACAAAGUAUAUUCUAUUUCUGGAUUUUAUGUGGUAAUUGUUUUUUUCUUAUAGGGAGUGAAGCACGGACCAGUGGACGCAAUGGUUGUUGCAAAGCCGAGACCUGGCACCUCUUCAGCCACUUGCAUAAGGUUCGUGGGGGAAACAGCCUGCAGAAGCCGCCACACAGCUCUGACUGAAGCCCCAUCACUCUCACGUGGAUCCACAAACAUUUGCUGCCGUCACGAAAAAAAAUCCAUCAUCCUAAAAAAAUGAAAUAAAGUUUCAAAAAUGG